rnacentral:rRNA from 1 species
AUUUGUCUGGUUAAUUCCGAUAACGAACGAGACCUUAACCUGCUAACUAGAUUCUUUUAUUUUAUAACUGAUAUCUUCUUAGAGGGACUAUGUAAUCUAAAUACAUGGAAGUUUGAGGCAAUAACAGGUCAGUGAUGCCCUUAUAUGUCCUGGGCUGCACGCGUGCUACACUGAUGCAUACAACAAGUGCCUAACCAGACAUGGUAUGGCAAUCUCGAAUAUGCAUCGUGAUGGGGAUAGAUCUUUGCAAUUAUAGAUCUUGAACGAGGAAUUCCUUGUAAGUGCAAGUCAUCAUCUUGCAUUGAUUAUGUCCCUGCCCUUUGUACACACCGCCCGUCGCUCCUACCGAUACCGGGUGAUCCGGUGAACCUUUUGGACUCAUUUGGGAAAGAUAAGUAAACCAUAUCACCUAGAGGAAGGAGAAGUCGUAACAAGGUUUCCGUAGGUGAACCUGCRGAAGGAUCA